UGUGUGGAAGGAGGAAGGCAGGGAGAGGUAGAAGGGGUGGAGGAGUCAGGAGGAAUAGGCCGCAGCAGCCCUGGAAAUGAUCAGGAAGGCAGGCAACCAAGGGCUGUGAACCCGCCUGGGGAUGAGGCCUGGUCUUGUGGAACUGAACUUAGCUCGACGGGGCUGACCGCUCUGGCCCAGGGUGGUAUGUAAUUUUCGCUCGGCCUGGGACGGGGCCCAGGCCGGGCCCAGCCUGGUGGAGCGUCCAGGUCUGGGUGCGAAGCCAGGCCCCUGGGCGGAGGUGAGGGGUGGUCUGAGGAGUGAUGUGGAGUUAAGGCGCCAUCCUCACCGGUGACUGGUGCGGCACCUAGCAUGUUUGACAGGCGGGGACUGCGAGGCACGCUGCUCGGGUGUUGGGGACAACAUUGACCAACGCUUUAUUUUCCAGGUGGCAGUGCUCCUUUUGGACUUUUCUCUAGGUUUGGCGCUAAACUCUUCUUGUGAGCUCACUCCACCCCUUCUUCCUCCCUUUAACUUAUCCAUUCACUUAAAACAUUACCUGGUCAUCUGGUAAGCCCGGGACAGUAAGCCGAGUGGCUGUUGGAGUCGGUAUUGUUGGUAAUGGUGGAGGAAGAGAGGCCUUCCCGCUGAGGCUGGGGUGGGGCGGAUCGGUGUUGCUUGCCUGCAGAGAGGGUGGGGAGUGAAUGUGCACCCUUGGGUGGGCCUGCAGCCAUCCAGCUGAAAGUUACAAAAAUGCUUCAUGGACCGUGGUUUGUUACUAUAGUGUUCCUCAUGGCGAGCAGAUGGAACCGGGAGACAUGGAGUCCCUGGCCAGUGUGAGUCCUAGCAUUGCAGGAGGGGAGACCCUGGAGGAGAGAGCCCGCCUCAAUUGAUGCCUGCAGAUUGAAUUUCCAGAGGCUUAGGAGGAGGAAGUUCUCCAAUGUUCUGUUUCCAGGCCUUGCUCAGGAAGCCCUGUAUUCAGGAGGCUACCAUUUAAAGUUUGCAGAUGAGCUUAUGGGGGGCAAUCUUAAAAAGUCCACAGCAGAUGCAUCCGGCUCGAGGGGCCAUCAGCUUUGAAUAAAUGCUUGUUCCAGAGCCCAUGAAUGCCAGCAGGCACCCCUCCUUUCCUGGGGUAAAGGUUUUCAGAUGCUGCAUCUUCUAAAUUGAGCCUCCGGUCAUACUAGUUUUGUGCUUGGAACCUUGCUUCAAGAAGAUCCCUAAGCUGUAGAACAUUUUAACGUUGAUGCCACAACGCAGAUUGAUGCCUUGUAGAUGGAGCUUGCAGAUGGAGCCCCGUGACCUCUCACCUACCCACCUGUUUGCCUGCCUUCUUGUGCGUUUCUCGGAGAAGUUCUUAGCCUGAUGAAAUAACUUGGGGCGUUGAAGAGCUGUUUAAUUUUAAAUGCCUUAGACUGGGGAUAUAUUAGAGGAAGCAGAUUGUCAAAUUAAGGGUGUCAUUGUGUUGUGCUAAACGCUGGGAGGGUACAAGUUGGUCAUUCCUAAAUCUGUGUGUGAGAAAUGGCAGGUCUAGUUUGGGCAUUGUGAUUGCAUUGCAGAUUACUAGGAGAAGGGAAUGGUGGGUACACCGGUAGUGCUCUUUUGUUCUUGCUUCGUUUUUUUAAACUUGAACUUUACUUCGUUAGAUUUCAUAAUACUUUCUUGGCAUUCUAGUAAGAGGACCCUGAGGUGGGAGUUGUGGGGGACGGGGAGAAGGGGACAGCUUGGCACCGGUCCCGUGGGCGUUGCAGUGUGGGGGAUGGGGGUAUGCAGCUUGGCACUGGUACUGGGAGGGAUGAGGGUGAAGAAGGGGAGAGGGUUGGUUAGAGAUACAGUGUGGGUGGUGGGGGUGGUAGGAAAUGCAGGUUGAAGGGAAUUCUCUGGGGCUUUGGGGAAUUUAGUGCGUGGGUGAGCCAAGAAAAUACUAAUUAAUAAUAGUAAGUUGUUAGUGUUGGUUAAGUUGUUGCUUGGAAGUGAGAAGUUGCUUAGAAACUUUCCAAAGUGCUUAGAACUUUAAGUGCAAACAGACAAACUAACAAACAAAAAUUGUUUUGCUUUGCUACAAGGUGGGGAAGACUGAAGAAGUGUUAACUGAAAACAGGUGACACAGAGUCACCAGUUUUCCGAGAACCAAAGGGAGGGGUGUGUGAUGCCAUCUCACAGGCAGGGGAAAUGUCUUUACCAGCUUCCUCCUGGUGGCCAAGACAGCCUGUUUCAGAGGGUUGUUUUGUUUGGGGUGUGGGUGUUAUCAAGUGAAUUAGUCACUUGAAAGAUGGGCGUCAGACUUGCAUACGCAGCAGAUCAGCAUCCUUCGCUGCCCCUUAGCAACUUAGGUGGUUGAUUUGAAACUGUGAAGGUGUGAUUUUUUCAGGAGCUGGAAGUCUUAGAAAAGCCUUGUAAAUGCCUAUAUUGUGGGCUUUUAACGUAUUUAAGGGACCACUUAAGACGAGAUUAGAUGGGCUCUUCUGGAUUUGUUCCUCAUUUGUCACAGGUGUCUUGUGAUUGAAAAUCAUGAGCGAAGUGAAAUUGCAUUGAAUUUCAAGGGAAUUUAGUAUGUAAAUCGUGCCUUAGAAACACAUCUGUUGUCUUUUCUGUGUUUGGUCGAUAUUAAUAAUGGCAAAAUUUUUGCCUAUCUAGUAUCUUCAAAUUGUAGUCUUUGUAACAACCAAAUAACCUUUUGUGGUCACUGUAAAAUUAAUAUUUGGUAGACAGAAUCCAUGUACCUUUGCUAAGGUUAGAAUGAAUAAUUUAUUGUAUUUUUAAUUUGAAUGUUUGUGCUUUUUAAAUGAGCCAAGACUAGAGGGGAAACUAUCACCUAAAAUCAGUUUGGAAAACAAGACCUAAAAAGGGAAGGGGAUGGGGAUUGUGGGGAGAGAGUGGGCGAGGUGCCUUUACUACAUGUGUGAUCUGAAAACCCUGCUUGGUUCUGAGCUGCGUCUAUUGAAUUGGUAAAGUAAUACCAAUGGCUUUUUAUCAUUUCCUUCUUCCCUUUAAGUUUCACUUGAAAUUUUAAAAAUCAUGGUUAUUUUUAUCGUUGGGAUCUUUCUGUCUUCUGGGUUCCAUUUUUUAAAUGUUUAAAAAUAUGUUGACAUGGUAGUUCAGUUCUUAACCAAUGACUUGGGGAUGAUGCAAACAAUUACUGUCGUUGGGAUUUAGAGUGUAUUAGUCACGCAUGUAUGGGGAAGUAGUCUCGGGUAUGCUGUUGUGAAAUUGAAACUGUAAAAGUAGAUGGUUGAAAGUACUGGUAUGUUGCUCUGUAUGGUAAGAACUAAUUCUGUUACGUCAUGUACAUAAUUACUAAUCACUUUUCUUCCCCUUUACAGC
rnacentral:lncRNA from 1 species